rnacentral:rRNA from 1 species
AACGAACGCUGGCGGCAGGCCUAACACAUGCAAGUCGAACGCCCCUUUCGGGGGGAGUGGCAGACGGGUGAGUAACACGUGGGAACGUGCCUUCUGGUUUGGGAUAACCCAGGGAAACUUGGGCUAAUACCGAAUACGCCCUUUACGGGGGAAAGAUUUAUUGCCGGAAGAUCGGCCCGCGUCUGAUUAGCUAGUUGGUGAGGUAAUGGCUCACCAAGGCGACGAUCAGUAGCUGGUCUGAGAGGAUGAUCAGCCACACUGGGACUGAGACACGGCCCAGACUCCUACGGGAGGCAGCAGUGGGGAAUAUUGGACAAUGGGCGCAAGCCUGAUCCAGCCAUGCCGCGUGAGUGAUGAAGGCCCUAGGGUUGUAAAGCUCUUUUGUGCGGGAAGAUAAUGACGGUACCGCAAGAAUAAGCCCCGGCUAACUUCGUGCCAGCCGCCGCGGUAACAC